GACGAACGCUGGCGGCGUGCCUAAUACAUGCAAGUUGAGCGCUGAAGGCUGGUACUUGUACCAACUGGGUGAGCAGCGCACGGGUGUGUAACGCGUGGGGAAUCUGCCUUUGAGCGGGGGACAACAUGGGGAAACGAAUGCUAAUACCGUAUAAAAACUUUAAACACAAGGUGGAUGGUUGAAAGAUGCAAUUGCAUCACUCAAAGAUGAUUCCGCGUUGUAUUAGCUAGUUGGUGAGGUAAAGGCUCACUAAGGCGAUGAUACAUAGCCGACCUGAGAGGGUGGUCGGCCGCAUUGAGAGGGAGACACGGCCCAAACGCCUACGGGAGGCAGCCAGAGGGAAUCGUCGGCAAGCGGCGAAAGUCUGACCGCGCUACGCCGCGUGAGUGAAGAAGGUUGUCGGAUCGGAAAAGUCGGUUUGUAGGGAAGAACGUUGGUGAGAGUGGAACGCUCAUCAAGUGACGGUAACUACUCAGGAAGGGACGGCUAACUACGUG
rnacentral:rRNA from 1 species